GAUAUGCCUCUCACCAAUGCCCAGCUGCACUUGUCUCAGAAGAAGAGCAGUGACUCCAAGCCCCCGUCCUGCAGUGAGAGGCCCCUGACGCUCUUCCACACCAUUCAGUCAACAGAGAAACAGGAACAAAGGAACAGCAUCAUCAACUCCAGUUUGGAAUCUGUCUCAUCAAAUCCAAACAGCAUCCUUAAUUCCAGCAGCAGCUUACAGCCCAACAUGAACUCCAGUGACCCAGACCUGGCUGUGGUCAAACCCACCCGGCCCAACUCACUGUAAGUAUGAUGUCCAGCUGCCUACCCCACAAGGGCUUUGGUCAGCCAUUCCACCUAGAAUUUGCUAUCUGGCUCCAUCUGACUUUGGACCAUUGUCCCCUGAACAUUAUUUAAACCUCCUCCCUAAACUGGGAG
rnacentral:sRNA from 1 species